AGAACGAACGCUGGCGGCAUGCCUAACACAUGCAAGUCGAACGAGACCUUCGGGUCUAGUGGCGCACGGGUGCGUAACGCGUGGGAAUCUGCCCUUGGGUUCGGAAUAACAGUUGGAAACGACUGCUAAUACCGGAUGAUGUCUUCGGACCAAAGAUUUAUCGCCCAGGGAUGAGCCCGCGUAGGAUUAGCUUGUUGGUGAGGUAAAGGCUCACCAAGGUGACGAUCCUUAGCUGGUCUGAGAGGAUGAUCAGCCACACUGGGACUGAGACACGGCCCAGACUCCGUACGGGAGGCAGCAGUGGGGAAUAGUUGGACAAUGGGACGAAAGCCGUAGAUCCGAGCAAUGCCGGCGUGAGUGAUGAAGCCUUAGAGUUAGUAAGGU
rnacentral:rRNA from 1 species